CGGUGUAGCUCAGGGGUAGAGCAUUUGAUUUGUAAUCAAAUGGCCGGGGGUUCGAAUCCCUCCACCG
rnacentral:tRNA from 1 species